GUCCCUUUGGGGACAUCCAAUAAAACUGGAACAAUGCAGAGAAGAUUAGCAUGCCCUGCGCAAAUAUACGCAUACUGUAUAAUUUU
rnacentral:snRNA from 1 species